rnacentral:sRNA from 1 species
GAUGUGAGGGCGAUCUGGCUGCGACGUCUGUCACCCCAUUGAUCGCCAGGGUUGAUUCGGCUGAUCUGGCUGACUAGGCAGGCGCUUGUGGUCCCAGCUACUC